rnacentral:rRNA from 1 species
GUCUAUGGCCAAACCACCCUGAAUGUGCCUGAUCUCGUCUAAUCUUGGAAGCUAAGCAGGGUAGGGCCUGGUUAGUACUUAGAUGGGAGACUGUUUGGAAAUACCGGGUGCAGUAGGCU